GGGGAAUUUUCCGCAAUGGGCGCAAGCCUGACGGAGCCAUACCGCGUGAGGGAGGAAGGCUUUUGGGUCGUAAACCUCUUUUAUUGGGGAAGAAGCACUGACGGUCCCCAAUGAAUCAGCAUCGGCUAACUACGUGACAGCAGCCGCGGUAAUACGGAGGAUGCAAGCGUUCUCAGGACUUAUUGGGCGGAAAGCGUCCGCAGGGGGUUCAUCAAGUCUGCUGUUGACGCGUGCGGCUUACCGGCAUC
rnacentral:rRNA from 1 species